ACGGGUAGCCGGCCUGAGAGGGCGACCGGCCACACUGGGACUGAGACACGGCCCAGACUCCUACGGGAGGCAGCAGUGGGGAAUAUUGCACAAUGGGGGAAACCCUGAUGCAGCGACGCAGCGUGCGGGAUGACGGCCUUCGGGUUGUAAACCGCUUUCAGCAGGGAAGAAGCGAAAGUGACGGUACCUGCAGAAGAAGUACCGGCUAACUACGUGCCAGCAGCCGCGGUAAUACGUAGGGUACGAGCGUUGUCCGGAAUUAUUGGGCGUAAAGAGCUCGUAGGUGGUUGGUCACGUCUGCUGUGGAAACGCAACGCUUAACGUUGCGCGUGCAGUGGGUACGGGCUGACUAGAGUGCAGUAGGGGAGUCUGGAAUUCCUGGUGUAGCGGUGAAAUGCGCAGAUAUCAGGAGGAACACCGGUGGCGAAGGCGGGACUCUGGGCUGUAACUGACACUGAGGAGCGAAAGCAUGGGGAGCGA
rnacentral:rRNA from 1 species